rnacentral:tRNA from 1 species
AGCGGGGUGGAGUAAUUGGUUUACUCGUAAGACUCAUGAUCUGAAGACUGCAGGUUCGAACCCUGCCCCCGCGAC